rnacentral:rRNA from 1 species
CCUACGGGGGGCUGCAGUGAGGAAUAUUGGUCAAUGGGCGGGAGCCUGAACCAGCCAAGUCGCGUGAGGGAAGACGGUCCUAUGGAUUGUAAACCUCUUUAGGCGGGGAGCAAUGCCGGGCACGUGUGCCCGGAGGGAGAGUACCCGCAGAAUAAGCAUCGGCUAACUCCGUGCCAGCAGCCGCGGUAAUACGGAGGAUGCGAGCGUUAUCCGGAUUUAUGGGGUUUAAAGGGUGCGUAGGCGGAUUUUUAAGUCAGCAGUAAAAUGUCCGGGCUCAACCCGGGCCGGCCGUUGAAACUGGGGAUCUUGAGUGGGCGAGAAGUAUGCGGAAUGCGUGGUGUAGCGGUGAAAUGCAUAGAUAUCACGCAGAACUCCGAUUGCGAAGGCAGCAUACCGGCGCCCGACUGACGCUGAGGCACGAAAGCGUGGGGAUCGAACAGGAUUAGAUACCCCAGUAGUC